GCUGGGCAUGGUGGCGUGUGCCUGUAGUCCUAGCCACUUGGGAGGCUAAGUUUGAGACCAGCUUGGGCAACAUAGCAAAAC
rnacentral:sRNA from 1 species